rnacentral:rRNA from 1 species
GGGGGGUGCAUUGCCAUGGGCGAAGCCUGAUGCAGCGACGCCGCGUGAGGGAUGACGGCCUUCGGGUUGUAAACCUCUUUCAGUAGGGAAGAAGCGAAAGUGACGGUACCUGCAGAAGAAGCGCCGGCUAACUACGUGCCAGCAGCCGCGGUAAUACGUAGGGCGCAAGCGUUAUCCGGAAUUAUUGGGCGUAAAGAGCUCGUAGGCGGUUUGUCGCGUCUAUCGUGAAAGUCCGAGGUCAACCUCGGAUCUGCGGUGGGUACGGGCAGACUAGAGUGAUGUAGGGGAGACUGGAAUUCCUGGUGUAGCGGUGAAAUGCGCAGAUAUCAGGAGGAACACCGAUGGCGAAGGCAGGUCUCUGGGCAUUAACUGACGCUGAGGAGCGAAAGCAUGGGGAGCGAACAGGAUUAGAUACCCUGGUAGUCCAUGCCGUAAACGUUGGGCACUAGGUGUGGGGGACAUUCCACGUUUUCCGCGCCGUAGCUAACGCAUUAAGUGCCCCGCCUGGGGAGUACGGCCGCAAGGCUAAAACUCAAAGGAAUUGACGGGGGCCCGCACAAGCGGCGGAGCAUGCGGAUUAAUUCGAUGCAACGCGAAGAACCUUACCAAGGCUUGACAUGUGCCAGACCGCCGUGGAAACACGGUUUCCCCUUUGGGGCUGGUUCACAGGUGGUGCAUGGUUGUCGUCAGCUCGUGUCGUGAGAUGUUGGGUUAAGUCCCGCAACGAGCGCAACCCUCGUUCCAUGUUGCCAGCGCGUAAAGGCGGGGACUCAUGGGAGACUGCCGGGGUCAACUCGGAGGAAGGUGGGGACGACGUCAAAUCAUCAUGCCCCUUAUGUCUUGGGCUUCACGCAUGCUACAAUGGCCGGUACAAUGGGUUGCGAUACUGUGAGGUGAGCUAAUCCCAAAAAGCCGGUCUCAGUUCGGAUUGG